UCGUCAAGAUUCUCUGAAAUCGAAAGCAAACGGAGGAGAAAUCGUUAUCUCCGACUACUUGAUCUAUCCUGAUCAUCAUCUCCACCGACGUGGGACACUCCCUGAAGCAAUCCACGACUUUCCCUGAAGCUAUCCGCGAUUUUUCCUGAAGCAAUUCGUGACUUUCCUUCACCAAAUCGGCGUGAAACCUUCAUCAACUCUUUCUCAUGGUUAAGGAGAUACUCUCUUGCUAUCCAUCCAAUUACAAGCAGUCUGCAGUUAUUCCUCUUCUAGAUCUUGCACAACAGCAGCAUGGAGGCUGGCUCCCUGUUUCCGCUAUGAAUGUGGUGUUUUAAGGAUCAUUCUCUGUUAACA